rnacentral:rRNA from 1 species
AUUGAACGCUGGCGGCAUGCCUAACACAUGCAAGUCGAACGCUCGUAGCAAUACGGGAGUGGCAGACGGGUGAGUAACGCGUGGGAACAUACCCUUUGGUUCGGAAUAACUGAGAGAAAUUUCAGCUAAUACCGGAUGUGCCCUUCGGGGGAAAGAUUUAUCGCCAAAGGAUUGGCCCGCGUCUGAUUAGGUAGUUGGUGAGGUAACGGCUCACCAAGCCGACGAUCAGUAGCUGGUCUGAGAGGAUGAUCAGCCACACUGGGACUGAGACACGGCCCAGACUCCUACGGGAGGCAGCAGUGGGGAAUAUUGGACAAUGGGGGCAACCCUGAUCCAGCCAUGCCGCGUGAGUGAUGAAGGCCUUAGGGUUGUAAAGCUCUUUCGUCAGGGAAGAUAAUGACGGUACCUGAAGAAGAAGCCCCGGCUAACUUCGUGCCAGCCGCCGCCGUAA